CCAAAGGCUCAGUUCAGUUCAUUUUUAUGGCCUGCCUUUAUUGUAUUUCAACUCUGGGGUUAUAAAGAUGAUAAAAGCACAAUUGCUGACCUCUCCAAGCUCACAUGUUGGCCAAGAGAGAGAGAGGCAAAGGAAACAUGGGCUCAGGCUGAGACACUGUCUAUGCUGCAUGAUAUUUUUGGAAGAAACGAAUCAAGUGCUAGAUUUCUUGAACAAUACUAACAAUCCAUUUCUGCAAGAAAGAUGGCGAGGGAAAGCCAAAUGGGUCCCCUGUCCUUGGCAAAAGUAACCUGCAUUCCCAGUUUCUUGAGUAUGUCUCCAGAUAGUCUAGGUCCUGCAUAAAGAAUAGAUCCUGUGAGCACACAGCAAGAUGGCAGCUGCUGACGAGCCAGGAAGAGAAGUCUCACCAGAAACUGACCGUGCUGGUACCCUGAUCCUGGACUUCCAGCCUCCAGAACUCACAAGAUUUCUCCUUCUGCUCCCCAGAGGAAAAAGAAACCUUUGGAGACGAGCUCCUGCAACGCCCUGCUUCUCGUUUGUCUCUCUCUGCAUUUCUCUUUCCUCGUUGUUAAACCAGAGGGGCGUUCCUCCUUUUAUCCCAGGCCAAUCUCUCUAUCUCUUAUCUGGAUCUCAUCACCUCCCAUAUGCCCAGGAACUGUGUUCCUUUGAUUAUCCUCUCUCUUUAUUUCAGCCUCUCCCUUCACAUCAAUAUAUAAUUGUGCUCAGAAUGUCCUUUUUUGGGGGGGGGGGGGUGGUGAGGAAGAUUUGGCCUGAGCUAACAUCUGUUGCCAAACUCCCUCUUUUUGCUUGAGGAAGAUUGUCCCUGAGCUAACAUCUGUGCCAAUCUUCCUAUUUUGUAUGUGGGAUGCUGCCACAGCAUGGCUUGAUGAGUGGUAGGUCUGCGCUGGGGAUCCAAAUCUAAGAAUCCUGGGCUGCUGAAGCAGAGCGCACGAACUUAACCACAACACCACCGGGCCAGCCCCAGAAUGCCCUGUUUUGAAAACAAAUAAGCAAGCAGAAACUCUGCCUUGACUGCACCUUAUUUCCUCCUAUUCACAGCUGAAGUUUUUGGAGGUUGUCUAUGGUCGCCUCCCACGUCCCUUCAGCCUUCGGCGGUAGGUUCUGAACCUACUGCUUCAGUGAAAUUACUCUUGCCAAAGUCUUUAAGAACCUCCUCAUGCUAAGUUUUCAGCCUUUGUUUUCCUUGAAGUUUGGACCACUUUAUAGCAUCGUUCACUCCCUUCUGACAUGCUCUCCUUCCUUCUCGAGGCUCCUCUCUGGCUGUUCCUCUGUCUUCCAAACUCUUCCUCCUUUGCCCGUCUCCCGGGCCAGAUUUCCUCAAUUCUCUCCAAGCUCUUCACCUCUUCUCACAUUGUGUGAACAGCUGUGUCCAGGGCUUUAAGAACAACCCGUCCAAGGUUAAAAUCCUAGUAAUUCAAGUCAGCCAGACCUGGAUUUGGAUCUUAAUUCCAACUCUUUUAAGUUCUGUCAUCUGGACAAGUUGCUUAGCUCUCAUAACCUUAGAUUUCUCGUCUUUAAAAUGAACAUAAUAAUUCUC
rnacentral:lncRNA from 1 species